rnacentral:lncRNA from 1 species
CGAUAGUUGUGAAUGCAAAUCUGGAACUAUGAGUAAUGAGCAGAUUGUUCUCUUGCUUAAUUUUAUUUUGAUUUUUGUUGUUCUUUCUAUUAUAUUUUAAAGUGGAGUUUUCUUCUACCAUCAUUUAUUUCUCCUCUAUUUUUAGAUUUAAAUGUUCAUCUGACUGUAAUAAUCUCAUGUGAUGUUGGAUUUUCAAUAGUUUCAAUGUUUAUAUGCUUUUUUAUGUAUUGUCAUUUUCGAAUUUUGUUAUUUUUAACCAGUGUUACACAUUUUUUCUCUCUCGUAGAUGGAAACAACGACUUCCGAAGUAGAAGUGAAAGUUCUUUCAACUACACAGAAACCUCCUCAAUUAGAAGGUAACAUCACUCUUGUUACCGAUUCAAGUAUAUUCGCACCUCCUAAAAAGCAAAAAAGAACAACUCCUUCUGAAAAUAAUUCUGGUACCAGGAACGGAAGGGAAACAUCAAAUUUGGAAACACUUUACCAAAUUUAUAGAUAAAGAUGGUAAGUGCAAGGUGAAAUGUCAUUUUUGUAGUCAAAGCUAUUGUUCUGAUAGUAAGAGAAAUGAAACAACUACAUUAUGGAACCAUCUUACUGGUAUUUGUAAAAAAUUCCCUUUUAGAUUCAUUCAUAAGAAGCAAUCGACAAUUAGGCUUAUUCCUAUUAAAGGAGGGGGACAAGAAGGUACUAAUGAUACUUGUAAGCUAGAAAAAAUUAUGUACAAUGUCAAUGAAGUGAGAAAGGCCAUUGCUGAAUUUGUAAUCAUUGAUGAACAACCUUUUAAAGUCAUUGAGGGAGAAGGUUUUAAGAAAUUGAUGUCAGUUGUUUAUCCUAACUUUGAGUUGCCCUCUCGUUUGACUGUUGCUAGGCAGUGUUUGAAAAUUUAUCAUGAAGGAAAAGAAUUAGAAAGUUUAUCCAGAACCAACAUGUAUGUCUCACAAGUGAUACAUGGACAUCACUCCAAAACCUAACUUAUAUGGUUAUAACUGCUCACUAGAUUGAUGAUAACUGGAACUUGCAGAAGAAAAUUCUUAACUUUUUUCAAGUUCCAGAUCAUAAGGGUGAAACGAUUGCAAAGGGGAUUGAGGCUUGUCUGUUAGAUUGGGGGAUUGAAAAACCAUUCACUGUGACCCUAGAUAAUGCAAGUGCAAAUGAUGUUUCGAUUAGACACUUGAAGGGUAGGAUUGAGGAUUGGAAAGGAAUUAUCUUGAGAAAUGACUUUCUACAUGUGAGAUGUAAUGCUCACAUUCUGAAUAUAAUUAUAAAAGAAGGAUUAGAUGAUCAUAAUGAAUCCAUUACGCGGGUUAGGAAUGUUGUAAAGUAUGUUAAGUCAUCUCCUGCAAGAUUUGCUUCCUUUAAGUCGUUUGUUGAAAAGGUAAAGAUAGAGAGCCAUGGUCUUUUGAGUUUAGAUGUUGAAACUAGGUGGAACUCGACAUAUACGAUGUUGAGUGCGGCUAUUAAAUUUGAAAAAGCCUUUCCAAGAAUGUAUGUUGAUGACCAUAAGUACCAAAAGCAUUUUACAGAAAUGAUUGGAAGAGGAGGGAAUCCAAAUGGGUAUGAUUAGAAGAAGGUAAAAGCUUUUAUAAAGUUUUUUGAUAUUUUCUACCAGAUUACUCUGAAAUUUUCGGGGACUCUUCAUGUUACUUCAAAUUCCUUCUGCCAUGAGCUUUUUAAUCUUCUUAAUUUUAUUACAAAUAAUUCUCAUAGUGAUGAUUCAGUUUUGAUUGAUAUGGCUGAUAAGAUGAAAGUCAAGUUUGAAAAAUAUUGGAUUGACUUUGAUAAUAUGAACAUAUUAUUUUCCGCCAUUGUAUUGGAUCCCCGAUAUAAAAUGAAAUAUGUGAACUUCAUCUUUGCCAAAUCUUAUGGUCCUUUGGUGGGAAAUUUAAGGUCAACAAGGGUGAUGGAUGUUUUAUCUCGUUUGUACGAUUAUUAUAAAGAUUCUUCUUCUGAAACUUCUGAUGAGAAUAUAGUAAAUCCAUUUAGAAUGAUGAGUGAAAGUGAGAAUGGUGAAAUAUGGCACUCGCAAUGGAAAAAAUAUGUGCAAGAGAAAGAUGAUGGUGGAAAUAAGAAUGAUCUUGACAGGUACUUGAUGGACGAUUUGGAGUUGACCAAAAAUUUAGAUAUCUUGGCUUGGUAGAAAGAUGCAAGUACGAGGUAUCCAGUUGUUACUAGGAUUGCAAGAGAUAUGCUUGCAAUUCCUAUUUCUACCGUAGCAUCUGAAUCGGCUUUCAGCACCGGUGGACGGAUUCUGAUUUGUAUCGAAGUUCUUUGUCGCCAAAGACAGUAGAAUCUUUAAUUUGCACUCAAUAAUGGUUGAGGUCAACUACUAAAAAAUGCACUGUUGAAGAUAUUCUGGAGGAAAUUCAAAAGCUUGAAAUAGUUGAGAAAGGUAAUUUUAUAUGUCUGACUCUUUAUGAAUAUGUUUAUGUCUGUAAAUUACUUAAUGAUAAUUUUUUUUCUUUCAAAAUACUCUGGCACUGUUUUGAGCAUUGAUUAACUCGGAUGAUGGAACCCUCUACAACUAUAUCCUUGUUGCUCGAAAUUUAGGAUGUAAUCUCGAUGUCGUUGUUUUAGUUUACCAUAUAAAAGACUGAGUAUCCUAUUCUGACUUUAUUAGUGUAAUAUCUUUUGUGACUUUUUUGUUGUCAGCUUUCUAAAGCUGGUGUUAGAAUAUUGGUGUUAAUAGUUGAAAUUUGACAGUACAUGAAAUCAAAGAGUGUUCGAAUGUCUUUUUGUGAGAAUGUCUGCAGAUGUUUUAUGAAACAAUCAAUUUAGUGGAAGAAUCUAUAGUGUUUUAUGUUUUAUGGAAGAAUCUAUAGUGUUUGAAUGUUUUAUAGAACUAUUUAGUAGAAUGAAAUGUGAGUGUCUGAAAGAGUUUUCUAACUUCAGUUUAGUGGAACAGUUGGCAUUUGAAUGUGCAGAAGAAUAUUGAGGAGGCUUGUCCAUUUACUUUUAUUUUUUCAAAAUUUAUUGUCAUUGUCUGUAGCAAUUUGUAACAAGUUAAAAUGUUAGAUUUGGUAGUCCAUAUCCAAGGUAUUUGUGCAGUAAAGUUUAGAUGUACAGUGAAGUACAAGUCUGUAGGGUGCUUCUGGGAGCUUGUUUUUUAAAAAACCGAUAAAAAUCGAAAACCCAAUAAAAACUGACAAAAACCGAAUCCAUAAUAAACUGACUCAGUUGGUUUGGUUUGGUUUUAAUAUUUAAAAAACUAAUAAAAUUGGUUUGGUUUCUCUUUAUGGGAAAAUCGACCCAAACCGAACCAUGAACACCCCUAGUCACCUUAAGCUGUUGCAUGGUUACUCUCUUUCAUUUGCACACUUGAAAACUUUCAGCUGCUUAUGUUUUGCUAUUAUGCCUAAUCCUUACAAAGAUAAGCUCAAAUCUAGGACUAUUCUAUCUGUUUUUAUUGGAUAUAAUUUUGGUAAGAAAGCUUAUAAGUUGCUCAACUUAUCCAGCUCAGUCAUUUUUCACUCAAGGGAUAUGGUGUUCCAUGAACACAUAUUCCCCUAUUCUGAUGCAUCUACUUCUGCUCAUUUGUUUCUACCAGUCCUACAUUCUUCUAUGCCUAAUAGUGUCCCCAUGCAUGAUGUUAUUCCCGAUGCCAUUCUUAUAUCUACAUCUUCCUCUGUUUCCACUUAUGAUGAUCCAUCAUGUGUUACUAAUCCUCCUAUUAGAAGAUCUAAUAGGCCCUCCAAAACUCCUGCUUAUCUUAAUGAUUAUGUAUGCACCUCUGUUUCUGGUUGUAAAGUGUUGUCCUCUUCUGAUGUUAAUUGCUUACUAAAACUUCAAUUUUAUCAUCAAGUUGUGUCUAAUCCUGCUUGGAAAGAGGCCAUGAUGAAGGAGUUUCAAACUUUAGAUGCCAAUAACACAUGAACUAUCAUGCCUCUUCCUCCAGGGAAGAAAGCUAUAUCUUGUAAAUGGGGAUACAAGAUAAAACAGAGGGCAUAUGGCUCUAUUGAGAUAUAUAAGGUUCGGUUGUUGAUUAGAGGGGAUAGUCAACAAGGAGUGGUCGAAUUGACCACUAUUAGAUGUCCAUUGUCCAUAGCAGCUAAAAGACAUUGGACAAUAUUCCAACUUGAUGUUAACAAUAAUUUUCUACACGUGGAUCUUGAUGAAGAAGUGUAUGUAAAAAUACCUCCUGGUUUGACUGUUCAAUCCUUUACUUCUAAUACUCCUUUAGCCUGUAAGCUUAAUAAAUCCCUCUAUGGUCUUAGACAAGCUUCUAAACAAUGGUAUGCUAAGUUGUCGGCUCUUCAAUCUAAGGGUUUUCAUCCUAGUGUUAAUGACUAUUCUUUGUUUAGGAAGUUGCAUGGGAACUCCUUGACUAUAGUAACAGUUUAUGUUGAUGAUAUACUAGUGACUAAGGAUGAUUUAUGUGAAAUUGCUGCCUUGAAACAAUUUUUAGAUGAUCAGUUUAAGAUAAAAGAUCUUGGUGAAAUUCGUUUUUUUCUUGGACUUGACGUUGUAAAGCAAGCAAAUGAUUUUCUUGUUAAUCAACACAAACUUUUUGUGGAACUUCUUUCUGAGUUCCAUUGUUCUGUUGUUACUCCUGUUGUUCCCCCCUAGAUCCUCAUGUUAAGUUGUCAGCUGAUUCUGGAGAUUUGCUGUCUGAUCCCUCUGUCUAUAUAAGAUUGGUAGGGAAGUUGAAUUUCUUGCAACAUACUAGACCUGACAUAUCAUUCAAUGAUCAAUAUUUGAGCCAAUACAUGUCUGUCCCACGACUGGACCAUUUGAAUGUUGCUUAUCAUGUCUUGAGGUACUUGGCUGGCACCCCCUCACUUGGUUUGUUAUUGUUUAAUUCUCCUGACUUUACUCUCCAAGGUUACUGUGAUUCAGAUUGGGCAAGCUGUGGUGAUUCUAGAAGGUCUGUUAGUAGCCUUAUUGUGUUUCUUGGUGGCUACCCCAUUGCCUAGAAGUCUAAGAAAUAGCCCAUCAUUGCUCUAGCCUCUGCUGAGGCUGAGUACAUGGCACUUAGAUUGUUGGUUGUUGAGGUUUCUUGGGUCCUUCGACUCUUAGCUGAGCUUGGGGUGUCAGAUCUUGUCGAUGUUUUAUGUGAUAGUAAAUUUGCCAUACACAUCGCCAAGAAUUCUGUUUUUCAUUAGAGUACUAAGCAUAUUGAAGUGGCCUGCCAUUUUGUUCGGGAUGCUUUAAAGGCUGGGCUCAUUACUCUGCAUUCUAUAUCUACUCAUUCUUAACUGGCUGACAUUUUUACUAAGCCUCUUCUAGGUAGCAGUCAACAGGCCUUUAUCUCCAAGCUUGGAAUGGAUUUCCCUUCCAGCUCGGGGGGAGGGGGGAUGUUGGAGUCCAUGAAGCAACACAGAGGCCCAAUGAAAGAGAGGCCCACUUGAAGAAGCUGAAGCUGAUGAAGCCUCCUUAGUUUGGACCUGAUCCUUUUUAUUUAACUCUUUACCCUACUCAGAUUGUAUGAAUAUAAAUACAGACUUUCAUAUUAUUUUGUAUAAUUCUUACAUAUUAAUAAAAUUGCCAUGUUCAACUCA